UUUGGGGUGACUCAGAAUCUGAAGGAAGCCGGACGCAAAAUCCCGAGGUGACGAACAGAAACUGGAUAAAAGGCUGUUUGAGAUGGACGAGUUUGCCACACAAAACAAAGUCCGAUACUGCCCAAGUCUUCUGCAGUAAAUCCAGCACCUAUAUGGGAGGAAAGUGGUUAGGC
rnacentral:ncRNA from 1 species